rnacentral:snoRNA from 1 species
GGAUCGAUGAUGACUCCCUCAACAGCAUUCCUUGGAAAGCUGAACAAAAUGAGUGAGAACUCCCUCCCCGUCGUUCUCAUCGAAACUGAGGUCC